GUAAGGAAUAUUGGGCAAUGGACGCAAGUCUGACCCAGCCAUGCCGCGUGGAGGAUGAAGGUCCUCUGGAUUGUAAACUUCUUUUCUCUGGGGCGAAAAAAGGAUAUUCUUAUCCUCCUGACAGUACCAGAGGAAUAAGCACCGGCUAACUCCGUGCCAGCAGCCGCGGUAAUACGGAGGGUGCAAGCGUUAUCCGGAUUCACUGGGUUUAAAGGGUGCGUAGGUGGGCAGGUAAGUCAGCGGUGAAAUCCCCGAGCUUAACUUGGGAACUGCCAUUGAUACUAUCUGUCUUGAAUACCUUGGAGGUGAGCGGAAUAUGUCAUGUAGCGGUGAAAUGCUUAGAUAUGACAUAGAACACCAAUUGCGAAGGCAGCUCACUACACGGUCAUUGACACUGAGGCACGAAAGCGUGGGGAUCAAACAGGAUUAGAUACCCUGGUAGUCC
rnacentral:rRNA from 1 species